CAGUCGCCGCGGGAAUACGAAGGGUGCAAGCGUUAAUCGGAAUUACUGGGCGUAAAGCGUGCGUAGGCGGUGAGUUAAGUCUGCUGUGAAAUCCCCGGGCUCAACCUGGGAAUGGCAGUGGAUACUGGCUCGCUAGAGUGUGUCAGAGGAUGGUGGAAUUCCCGGUAUAGCGGUGAAAUGCGUAGAGAUCGGGAGGAGCAUCAGUGGCGAAGGCGGCCAUCUGGGACAACACUGACGCUGAGGCACGAAAGCGUGGGGAGCAAACAGGAUUAGAUACCCCCGUAGUCCCUGUCUCUUAUAC
rnacentral:rRNA from 1 species